rnacentral:tmRNA from 1 species
GGGGCUGUAACGGUUUCGACGUUUUGGCGAACACUACCCUGUGAUACAGGUCGAGAGCGGGCUACCUCUCGAAAAUCAAUGGCUCAAAACAAGUACAUGCGAACAACAUUGUACCUUUUGCUCGUAAGGCUGCCGUUGCUGUUGCCUAAACACCUCUCAUAGGUUCGAGCGUCUGCUGUUUGACUCCGUUAAGGAUGGCAGACAAACCCCAACGGAUGCUCUAGCAAAGUUCCUCUGGUUGGUUGCUAGCUAAGAUUUAACCAGAGCAUCCCAUCGUCCGGGAUAAAGGGCGAUUCCCGCUUCGAGGAUUAGAGAAGCUAAACCUGUGAAUGAGCGGUGUACUAAUACCCAGGGCGGACACGGGUUCGACUCCCGUCAGCUCCACUG